GGCGCGCGCGCGCCCCUGGGACUCGGCCGUCAGGUACCGCGUCGCGCUGCCGCCUCUAGUCACCGCCCGAAGAGCCCUCCCUGCUGUUACUCGAGUUGACUGCAUCUUAUUCUCCGAUCUUCUCCCUGAGGUGAAGACAGCUAACGAUUCCUGUGAAAGGUGGAGGAGAGAAGCGAAGUAGGGAGCGUGAGGGACCGGGUCACCGUGAUCUCCAUCGCCGGCCGGAGCGCCUGGCUCCUGGACCCUUGAUGCAGUUAGUUCGUUCCCUGGUCUCCCGUCCGCUUGCCCUGAGCUCUCUCAGUUCUCAGCUCAGUUCUCUUCAGGUUUUCUCUGUCAGCAGGUGCUUGGGUCGGACGGUCCCCACCGAAAACAAAAUACCUGAAGAUUCUCUGGCUCAUUUGAAAAGACAGGUUUUACUUCUUUAUUCAUGAGAGACACAGAGAGAGAAGCAGAGACCUAAGGCAGAGGGGGAAGCAGGCUCCACGUGGGAAGCUUCAUGUGGGACUUGAUCCCAGGACCCUGGAUCACACCCUGGGCCAAAGGUUGACGCUCAACCGCUGAGCCACCCAGGUGCCCUUAGAUUGAGCACUUUAUUACAAACUCAGAGAGGCUGGAAUUAUUUCAGAGGGGAGCAGAUGAUGAAGAGGACCCCAAAAGUUACAUGAGGUCAACCACAAUCUGGAAGCGGAUGAUCCUUCUUCUGAUAAAUCAUCAAGGGGUCAAUAGUGGCCUAAUGCUAUGUCACAAUGCCUGCAUCAUUCACUUCACUUCAUCUCAUCACUAGGCAUUUUAUCAUCUCACAUCAAAAGAAGGGAAAAGAAACCAGCAGGAAGAAGAAUUUCUCCAGACCCAACCACAAGUGCAGCCAAUAAGAAAAUAUCACAACUCAGCCAAUGGGAAAUCAUCAGGACCCUGGACUCUCACUUUUCUCCAGUGAAUUUUCAUUCACAGCAGUUCCCCAACCCCCAACUUCUUCCUUUUCUUUAUAAUGUUUCUCUCAUUUGAUCUGUGGACUUGCCAGUAGCUUCCCAUAGCUUGCGUGUCCAAAUAGCAAUUCCUCUACUAUUACUGAAUAAACACAUUGCUGAUAAAAUAA